rnacentral:rRNA from 1 species
UACGAGGGGGGCUAGUGUUGUUCGGAAUUACUGGGCGUAAAGGGAGCGUAGGCGGGUGCUUAAGUUGGAUGUUUAAAACCGGGGCCCAACCCCGGCGCGGCAUUCAAAACUGGGCAUCUUGAAUGGGACAGAGGCCAGUGGAAUUGGAGGUGUAGCGGUGGAAUGCGUAGAGAUCUCCAAGAACACCAGUUGCGAAGGCGGCUGGCUGGGU